GACGAACGCUGGCGGCGUGCUUAACACAUGCAAGUCGAACGGAAAGGCCCUGCUUUUGUGGGGUGCUCGAGUGGCGAACGGGUGAGUAACACGUGAGUACCCUGCACCUGACUUUGGGAUAACUUCAGGCAACUGGGGCUCAUACCGGAUAGGAGCUCCUGCUGUAUGGUGGGGGUUGGAAAGUUUCGGCGGUUGGGGAUGGACUUGCGGCUUAUCAGCUUGUUGGUGGGGUAGUGGCUUACCAAGGCUUUGACGGGUAGCCGGCCUGAGAGGGGGACCGGCCACAUUGGGACUGAGAUGCGGCCCAGACUCCAACGGGAGGCAACGGUGGAGAAUAGUGCACAAUGGGCGGAGGCCUGAUGCAGCAACGCCGCGUGCGGGAUAACGGCCUUCGGGUUGUAAACCGCUUUCGCCUGUGACGAAGCGUGAGUGACGGUAAUGGGUGAAGAAGCACCGGCUAACUACGUG
rnacentral:rRNA from 1 species